AUCGCUUCUCAGCCUUUUGGCUAAGAUCAAGUGUGAGUA
rnacentral:snRNA from 1 species